AUUCCUGGUAUGUAGCUCCUUGGUCUCUUUUCUCUCUCACUGUGACUUGGAAUCUCACUUUCCUUUCAAAAGGCCAAUUCCCCAGGAAUCAGCCUCUGCCCAUGACCCAAGAGCUGCCGUGUUUUAUUUUAUACCAUCUGAAGGAAAGCGGAGUCAGAGAGCCCCUUACUGACUCUACCCUUCAAAUUGUGGGGCUCUUUUUCCUUCCUGAGUGUUUAGGUUGUGCUGUUCCUAGACCUCGGCCAUAAUACAAGAGAGGAUUUGUUUCAAGCAAUGCUGAUAGGUCUUGCUGGCUACCUGAGUGGAUAUGAUGGUACCUUUUUGUUCCAGAAGCCUGGGGAUAAAUAUGAGCAUCACAGCUACAUGGGAAUGAGAGGAGUAAGGCUUCCUGACUUGAAAUGGACUGACUGAACCCUGGGGCCACACUAAACCAGAAAUGUUAUAGUUAGCAGCCCUGGCGUGGUGGCAGUUCUGUGCAUUCCUCGGCUCCUGGCUGGUCCCCUUUGCCUACCUCACUGUACUGGAUCUGUCCAAGUCCCUCUCGGCAGCACUGCUCACAGCUGCCCUCCUCACCUUUGACACGGGAUGCCUCACUCUGUCCCAGUACAUCCUCCUUGACCCCAUCCUGAUGUUCUUCAUCAUGGCUGCCAUGCUGAGCAUGGUCAAGUACAACUCUUGCGCCGACAGG
rnacentral:sRNA from 1 species